AUUGAACGCUGGCGGCAUGCUCAACACAUGCAAGUCGAACGGUAACAGGCCCUUCGGGGUGCUGACGAGUGGCGGACGGGUGAGUAAUGCUUAGGAAUCUGCCUAGUAGUGGGGGAUAACCCGGGGAAACUCGGGCUAAUACCGCAUACGCCCUACAGGGGAAAGCGGGGGACUUUCGGCCUCGCGCUAUUAGAUGAGCCUAAGUCCGAUUAGCUAGUUGGUAGGGUAAUGGCCUACCAAGGCGACGAUCGGUAGCUGGUCUGAGAGGACGACCAGCCACACCGGAACUGAGACACGGUCCGGACUCCUACGGGAGGCAGCAGUGGGGAAUAUUGGACAAUGGGGGCAACCCUGAUCCAGCGACGCCGCGUGGGUGAAGAAGGCCUGCGGGUUGUAAAGCCC
rnacentral:rRNA from 1 species